rnacentral:lncRNA from 1 species
AUGCUUGAGCAUGAAAGGCUCCGGCCCGGCCCACGGCCGAUAUCUGAGUGGGCCUGGGCGCCCGGGGACCCCGGGGUCCCCCUGUGUGGUUGCCCCGGACACAGCCCCCGAUGGACUCUCCAACCUCCCUUUCAAUGCGAAAAGAGGCCACUCAGGACCCCGGUGACGGUGGGGAGGAGGCACGGCCCCGUCACGGGGGAGGAGGACGGCUGCGGAGCACAGGCCACGCCCCUCUGGCCGACCCGUCACAGGCCAGGCCCCGGGGCUGCCCUCUGGGACCCCACUGUGCCCUGGGGGACUCUGCUCCAGGCGGGGGAGCGGCCCGAGGCCGGGCAGCUCAGAACCAUUCCCAGCCUCCCCACCAGCAGGGGACGUGCAUGGAGCCGCCGGGAGGCCUGGGGUGGGGAGCGCAGCCCGCAGCCCGAGCUCUCGGGGGCCGUGGGGGCAGGAGUGCCCACGGCAGGACCCGGCCUUGAUGCCUGUGGCUCAGUCACUUAGCCUCUGACUCGGGCUGUGGCUCGGGUCGUGGCCUCAGCACCCUGGGAUCCCGCCCUGGCAGGCCUGCGCUUGGGGCCCGUCUGCUUCAGAGCCUGGGUCUCCCUCUCCCCUCCCUGCUCUCUGCCUGUCUCUUACACAAACAAAACAAACUAUCCGAUAAAGAAACAAUCUUAGAGAUAAAUGUUCAAAAAAUUUUGGAUCAUACAAGGACCUCAAGAGACACAGAGAGACAGAGACCGAGAGAGACAGACACACAGACAGAGGGAGAAGCAGCCCUGGUGCAGAGAGCCCGAGGGGGACUCGAUCCCGGGCCCUGGGGUCAGGGCCUGGGCGGAAGGCAGGCGCUAAACCCCUGGGCGACCAGGCCGCCCUGAAGGCUCUGCUCUGUAUUCUACACCUCUGUGCACAGGGACUCUGCAUCUGGCCCAGGCAGGGGCCGGGCCCUGGGGCAAGUGUGGGGAGCAGGGGAAUGCAGACUCAUGUGGGAGCAGGAGUGUAGGGGGGAGCCCAGGGGAGUAGUAGCAGGCUGCCUCUGGGACCCGGGGCCCUUCGUGCCGCAUCGGGGACCCGGUGUCGGGGGUGCCCCGGCCCUGCACUCAUUUGAGCCGAGCGCUGGCCUCUGUUAGCUGCGCAGGGCAUUCCCAGUUCUCGAGGCGGGUGGGGCAGAGCACCCCUUCCUCCCGCUCGCGCCCCCCUGUCCCGGGUGGAGCUCUGUGGGACAGUGCCCGGCAGCCAGGCAGGAGGCCUCAGCGCCGGUCCGGCCGCCUCGGCUGGGCCGCACCCCCAGCUGCCCCCAUCCAGACACACCACAGCGCAGGCGGCACCCCCCCGCCCCAAGGAGAGCAAAGGGAUGCGGCUCAGGGCUCGGGGGGACUCUG